rnacentral:rRNA from 1 species
AUGUGUAGGAUAGGUGGGAGGCUUUGAAGCGUGGACGCCAGUCUGCGUGGAGCCAACCUUGAAAUACCACCCUUUAAUGGCUGGUGUUCUAACGUAGACCCGUAAUCCGGGUUGCGGACAGUGUCUGGUGGGUAGUUUGACUGGGGCGGUCUCCUCCCAAAGAGUAACGGAGGAGCACGAAGGUUGGCUAAUCCUGGUCGGACAUCAGG